rfam:Triticum urartu cultivar G1812 contig1172565, whole genome shotgun sequence.
CUUUCCAAUGAUGACCAAACUAAAAACUUUCGUUCUUCUGAUGCGCCACCUCAUGUUGCAAUUUGGAGACCUGAACUAAGGAAAU